CUGCGGCAGAGUGAGAGCAACAGAAAACUCUCCACUGUUAGCUGUUAGCAGACCCCUCUCAGUGUUCUCUGCCGCUUGGAGGAGUGACCCAUACACUUGUGUCCAAGACAGGGUUUUGCUGUAUUGGCCAGCAUGGUCUUGAACUCCUGACCUCAAGUGAUCAGCCUGCCUUGGCCUCCCGAAGUGCUGCGAUUACAGGCAUGAGCCACCACACCCGGCCAGGGGGUACACUUUAAAUGGCUGAAUUGAAUGAAGUGUGUUAUAUCUCAAUAAAGCUGUUUUUUAAAAAAGUUAGAUGCCAGGUUUCUGACCCCACAGUGGCAGGCAACGACCCUGUUCUGUGAGCAUCCGGGAUUAUUUUUGGUAUGGCAGGUGCCCAGGAUUUUUGUGCAGAGCCUUCAUACCUGUCACUGAUGGAGGCUCUCCGAAGUUCAAGCCAAAGUUGGGAUCCGCCUACAAACUGUUUUACAGUUUUCCUUCUUCUCCAAGGUGCAGUGAAAGCGAAGGAACGCUGCUGGACACGGUGAGACAUGGAGGACUUUGUAAGGGAUAACCUUUGGUUCCCUGAUUUUUUGACAUGAAUCUAAUGCUCUGCACCUUCCUCCAUCUUCUUGACAGUGACAUUCAUAAAGGCCAGAAGCUCGGUGUUUUUGUUUCUGUUGUCGUCUGUAUUCUGUAUUCUGUUCCACUAGUCCAUCUGUCCAUCCUUGUACCAAUACUUCACUGUCUUCACAUUACAGUAACUUUUUAGUCUUGGUUCCUGGUAGGAUAAGUCGGAGGUUUGUUGUUCUUCAAGAUCACCUUGGAUAUUCUAGGUCCUUUACAUUUCAAUAUAACAUUUUAGAAACAGCUUGCCAUUUUUCCACCCACAAAAACCAUGCUGGGAUUUGGUUGAGAUGACUUUGACACCACACAUCAGAGUUUGGGAAGAACCAACAACUUUAUAAUACUGUGUCUUCCAAUGCAUAUACAUAGAAUAUCCCUCCAUUUAGUUACAUUUUGUUAGACUUAUUUCUAAGUAUUUGAUGCUUUUUGAUGCUAUCAUAAAUUAUAUUGUUUUGGCAAUUUCAUUUUCUA
rnacentral:lncRNA from 1 species